AAUCAACGCUGGCGGCGUGCCUCAGACAUGCAAGUCGAACGAUUAAAGCUCUCUUCGGAGAGUGUAUAGAGUGGCGCACGGGUGAGUAACACGUAAGUAAUCUACCUUCGAGUGGGGAAUAACACCGAGAAAUCGGUGCUAAUACCGCAUAAUGCAGCGGCAUCGCAAGAUGACAGUUGUUAAAGAUUUAUCGCUUGAAGAGGAGCUUGCGGCAGAUUAGCUAGUUGGUAAGGUAAUGGCUUACCAAGGCUACGAUCUGUAACCGGUCUAAGAGGACGGUCGGUCACACUGACACUGAAUAAACGGGUCAGACUCCUACGGAGGCAGCAGUCGGGAAUUUUGGCAAUGGGCGAAAGCCUGACCCAGCAACGCCGCGUGAAGGAUGAAGUAUUUCGGUAUGUAAACUUCGAAAGAAU
rnacentral:rRNA from 1 species